UUUGAACAAAAAUGAACAAAAAUAUUUCUUGAAGAAAAACAAAUUAAAAAAAAAGAUUCAACAUGGUCAUCCCAUCACCACAUUUUAACGUGUGAUUCGUCUUCCAUGAGAUGAGAGUCAUAGUUGAUGUUUACAUGAUGGUAAUUAACACGAUUGGUUGUUAAAAGAGAGACUUGUGCCCGUUUACUGACUUUGUAUCACACAAAAUGUCUUGUUAAAGCAGAAAAGUGUUUCAUAUUGUAAAGAACUCAUAGGCAGCAUGAAUAUGUUAUCAUAGUUUUAUAUUUUUACAUAUGUGCAACCAAACAAUCCAGAAAGAGGUUCCACUUGUUGCUUUAAUGUGAUUUUUAUGUUAUGCUUUAAAGUUCAAGUCAAUUGAUCUUGAUUAGAACAUAUUGCAAAUGUGGCUUUUUAUCAACAUUUUACAUCAGCCCUGUUAAUACUCAGCUAUAUUAAUAUCUGUGGAUGUGAAUAUAUAUAUAUAUAUAUAAUAUUUUCAAAAUACUAAAUUGUAAAGCAACUUUAAUUCAGUUUUCCACAGAAGUGAUAAUAUUGAAAGCCAAACCAGUGAAUUGAGAAAAGUAAAAAGAGAGAGUAGUGAGAAAAGAUAAUAUUAAAUUAUGUGAAAAAUAUUACAAAAGACUAUUUUCAAACAAAAAAUCUGUAAUGAUUUAUGCGUUAUAUAUUAUGAAAAUUUCUUAAAGGGAUUUCAAAUAAUUUAAAUCCCUUUAAUAAAAAAAAAAAGAUAAAUCCCCCAAAUUGAAAUCUGUAAUGAAAACAAAACAUUUUGAUGAAAACACUAUAAAGUCAAUUUAACUUACUUUAGAAAAAAUAUAUUAAUGCAUAAUAUAAAAGUAAAGUAAGAGGUUAAAAAAUAAAAUGAGCGUUGGCCAAUCAGUCAUGUUAUUUCAACCAGUUUUCUCUCUGUAUUGUUUAUUUUAAUCACAUGAUUUAUGUUACAAACACUCUGAGCUAACUCCUAAUGUGACUGUGUGUUUGACGGAUGUGUGAUUUGGCACAGUUUGAACUCUGUACCUCAUGGCUCAAACAUAAUGAAUUCCUGUUGCCUGAUGUUUAAUUUAUACAUGUGCACUGAAUCUAUGUAGAGCCUACGACAUAGAUUUAACACAAAAGUACAAAUUUCCCCUUAGUUUGUGCAGUCAUCAGUCACAUGAUGACGUGCGAGCGCUGGAGUGAGUGUGUGUUACAGUUACAGACUAAAUGUUGUUCUGCUAGAUUGUUUUUAAUUAAUAAAAAGUCACAAAAAUGAA
ensembl:lncRNA